rnacentral:rRNA from 1 species
GACGAACGCUGGCGGCGUGCCUAAUACAUGCAAGUCGAGCGCAGGAAAUCGACGGAACCCUUCGGGGGGAAGUCGACGGAAUGAGCGGCGGACGGGUGAGUAACACGUAAAGAACCUGCCCUCAGGUCUGGGAUAACCACGAGAAAUCGGGGCUAAUACCGGAUGGGUCAUCGGACGGCAUGGUCCGAGGAUGAAAGGCGCUUCGGCGGCGCCUGGGGAUGGCCUUGCGGUGCGUUAGCUAGUUGGGGGGGUAAGGGCCCACCAAGGCGACGAGGCAUAGCCGACCUGAGAGUGUGAUCGGCCACACUGGGACUGAGACACGGCCCAGACUCCUACGGGAGGCAGCAGUAGGGAAUCUUCCACAAUGGACGAAAGUCUGAUGGAGCAACGCCGCGUGAACGAUGAAGGCCUUCGGGUCGUAAAGUUCUGUUGUAAGGGAAGAACAAGUGCCGCAGGCAAUGGCGGCACCUUGACGGUACCUUGCGAGAAAGCCACGGCUAACUACGUGCCAGCCGCCGCCGUAAGAC